GUGGUAAUGCCGGAUGUUCCACAUGAUCGCAUGUGAUUGUGGGAAAGAUUUCAUCGGCGUGGGAUGGGGUCGCGUCCUAUCAGCUUGUUGGUGAGGUAACGGCUCACCAAGGCUUCGACGGGUAGCCGGCCUGAGAGGGCGACCGGCCACAUUGGGACUGAGAUACGGCCCAGACUCCUACGGGAGGCAGCAGUGGGGAAUAUUGCACAAUGGGCGCAAGCCUGAUGCAGCGACGCCGCGUGAGGGAUGGAGGCCUUCGGGUUGUAAACCUCUUUUGUUUGGGAGCAAGCCUUCGGGUGAGUGUACCUUUCGAAUAAGCGCCGGCUAACUACGUGCCAGCAGCCGCGGUAAUACGUAGGGCGCAAGCGUUAUCCGGAUUUAUUGGGCGUAAAGGGCUCGUAGGCGGCUCGUCGCGUCCGGUGUGAAAGUCCAUCGCUUAACGGUGGAUCUGCGCCGGGUACGGGCGGGCUGGAGUGCGGUAGGGGAGACUGGAAUUCCCGGUGUAACGGUGGAAUGUGUAGAUAUCGGAAAAGAACACCA
rnacentral:rRNA from 1 species